rnacentral:rRNA from 1 species
UACGUAGGGUGCGAGCGUUGUCCGGAAUUAUUGGGCGUAAAGAGCUUGUAGGCGGUUUGUCGCGUCUGCUGUGAAAAUCCGGGGCUCAACCCCGGACUUGCAGUGGGUACGGGCAGACUAGAGUGUGGUAGGGGAGACUGGAAUUCCUGGUGUAGCGGUGAAAUGCGCAGAUAUCAGGAGGAACACCGGUGGCGAAGGCGGGUCUCUGGGCCGAUACUGACGCUGGAGGAGCGAAA